rnacentral:ncRNA from 1 species
UCUUAUCCAGAGAGGUGGAGGGACAGGGCCCUAUGAAACCCGGCAACCAGCAAUUAUAUGCGGGUGCCAAUUCCCACAAGUGUUUAUACACUUGUAAGAUGAGG